rnacentral:rRNA from 1 species
CAGUCGCCGCGGUAAUACGUAGGGUGCAAGCGUUAAUCGGAAUUACUGGGCGUAAAGCGUGCGCAGGCGGUUAUGUAAGACAGGUGUGAAAUCCCCGGGCUUAACCUGGGAACUGCGCUUGUGACUGCACAGCUAGAGUAUGGCAGAGGGGGGUGGAAUUCCACGUGUAGCAGUGAAAUGCGUAAAGAUGUGGAGGAACACCGAUGGCGAAGGCAGCCCCCUGGGCCAAUACUGACGCUCAUGCACGAAAGCGUGGGGAGCAAACAGGAUUAGAGACCCCUGUAGUCCCUGUCUCUUAUAC